CAGUAGCCGCGGUAAUACGUAGGUGGCAAGCGUUGUCCGGAAUUAUUGGGCAUAAAGGGCUCGCAGGCGGUUUCUUAGGUCUGAUGUGAAAGCCCCCGGCUCAACCGGGGAGGGUCAUUGGAAACUGGGAAACUUGAGUGCAGAAGAGGAGAGUGGAAUUCCACGUGUAGCGGUGAAAUGCGUAGAGAUGUGGAGGAACACCAGUGGCGAAGGCGACUCUCUGGUCUGUAACUGACGCUGAGGAGCGAAAGCGUGGGGAGCGAACAGGAUUAGAUACCCCAGUAGUCCCUGUCUCUUAUAC
rnacentral:rRNA from 1 species